rnacentral:rRNA from 1 species
GACGAACGCUGGCGGCGUGGAUUAGGCAUGCAAGUCGAGCGGUGCAGUUUGAAGCUUCGGUGGAAAGCUGCAUAGCGGCGGACGGGUGAGGAAAACGUAGGAACGUGCCCCUUGGAGUUGGAUAGCCACGGGAAACUGUGGGUAAACCGACAUAGACUCGAGAGAGUAAAGGCCGAAAGGCGCCAAGGGAGCGGCCUGCGGCCCAUCAGGUAGUUGGUAGUGUAAAGGACUACCAAGCCGACGACGGGUAGCCGGUCUGAGAGGAUGGCCGGCCACAAGGGCACUGAGAGACGGGCCCUACUCCUACGGGAGGCAGCAGUGGGGGAUUUUGGACAAUGGGCGAAAGCCUGAUCCAGCGACGCCGCGUGGAGGACGAAGCCCUUCGGGGUGUAAACUCCUUUUCUCAGGGAAAAAGGAUGAUGGUACCUGAGGAAUAAGCCCCGGCUAACUACGUG